UAGGGAAUCUUCCGCAAUGGACGCAAGUCUGACGGAGCAACGCCGCGUGAGUGAAGAAGGAUUUCGGUUCGUAAAACUCUGUUGUUAGAGAAGAACAGCGCAUAGAGUAACUGUUAUGCGUGUGACGGUAUCUAACCAGAAAGCCACGGCUAACUACGUGCCAGCAGCCGCGGUAAUACGUAGGUGGCAAGCGUUGUCCGGAUUUAUUGGGCGUAAAGCGAGCGCAGGCGGUCAAUUAAGUCUGAUGUGAAAGCCCCCGGCUCAACCGGGGAGGGUCAUUUGAAACUGGUUGACUUGAGUGCAGAAGAGGAGAGUGGAAUUCCAUGUGUAGCGGUGAAAUGCGUAGAUAUAUGGAGGAACACCAGUGGCGAAGGCGACUCUCUGGUCUGCAACUGACGCUGAGGCUCGAAAGCGUGGGUAGCAAACAGG
rnacentral:rRNA from 1 species